rnacentral:rRNA from 1 species
UACGAGGGGUGCAAGCGUUGCUCGGAAUUAUUGGGCGUAAAGGGUAGGUAGGUGGUCUCAUUUGUCUGUGGUGAAAGCCUUGGGCUCAACCCAAGAAGUGCCGCAGAAACGGUGAGACUAGAGUCCUGGAGAGGGUCGUGGAAUUCCCGGUGUAGCGGUGAAAUGCGUAGAGAUGUGGAGGAACACCAGUGGCGAAGGCGACUCUUUGGCCUGUAACUGACGCUGAGGCGCGAAAGCGUGGGGAGCAAAUAGG